rnacentral:rRNA from 1 species
ACGCUCGACACCACGGGAGGCAGCAGUGGGGAAUAUUGGGCAAUGGAAGCAACUCUGACCCAGCAACGCCGCGUGAGUGAUGAAGGUCUUCGGAUUGUAAAACUCUUUAAGUAGGGACGAAGAAAGUGACGGUACCUACAGAAUAAGCCUCGGCUAACUACGUACCAGCAGCCGCGGUAAUCUGAGCGGGCUGGCAAGGC